rnacentral:rRNA from 1 species
UGGCGGGUGCCUAAACAUGCAAGUCGAACGAGAAAGCGGGGGCAACUCCGCAAGUAAAGUGGCGACCGGGUGAGUAACACGUGACUAACCUGCCCUCGAGCGGGGGAUAACCCCGGGAAACCGGGGCUAAUACCGCAUAACGUCCUCGAUACGAAAGUAUUGAGGAUCAAAGGAGCAAUCCACUUGAGGAGGGGGUCGCGGCCGAUUAGCUAGUUGGCGGGGUAAUGGCCCACCAAGGCUGAGAUCGGUAGCCGGCCUGAGAGGGCGCACGGCCACACUGGAACUGAAACACGGUCCAGACUCCUACGGGAGGCAGCAGUGGGGAAUUUUGCGCAAUGGGGGGAACCCUGACGCAGCAACGCCGCGUGGAGGAUGAAGUCCCUUGGGACGUAAACUCCUUUCGACCGGGAAGAUAAUGACGGUACCGGAAGAAGAAGCACCGGCUAACUCUGUGCCAGCAGCCGCGGUAAUACAGAGGGUG